GCCUGCAAGCAGGGAGCGACGGGAAAAGGAAACUUCAGUCCAGCCGGAGAACGGAAACCGAAAGCGGUCCAGAAAGUGCAGACUGACAGACAGAUGUCAAGAGGAACAGCCUGAACCCGUGUCCUGAUGGGUGCUCACUUUGUUAAGUCCUAUCGCUGGUCACCAGAGAGAGAUCAACACUUCCCCUUCUGCAGUUCCCCCUUGAGGAAGGUGUAGACUGCGAUAGUGUCACCCCUCAGCCUUCUCCUCUCCAAGGAUACACAAACCACAGGAUUCCGAUGACUCACACCAAAAGAGCUUUCAAACACAUGGAGGACGGAAGGGCACGCUGUUUCUGCAUUAAAGCUUCCUGCCAAAGCCCCAGACUAAGCAUACAUGAAUAUAUUUGGACAAAGUUUUAGCAACAAUGUUACGACAUCUAAAACAUGAUAUGGCAGUUAAGACAAAAAAAAUGUCUGCGAGGUGUCACUCCAUCAACAAAUAUGAGAGCUCCAUCCACACAUGGUAACUCUACUCGUGGACAAACACAGAAGUUAAUGCGAUGGCAACUCUCUGUUUCAUUUAUUGCUACUACUCUAUGAUCUGUAUCCACCUUCACUGAGGACAAGGAAGGUGGGAGUACUUUUUUCUUCAUGUAUGCCUCCUGUCUGGUAAAUACAGUUGCAUUAAGUUGCCAUAGAUGCUAUAAAAUUGUACAACUUUGUAAAAAUUGUGGGAAUUAUCUGCCAUGGCCACACACAUAACCACAAUGCCAAAUACACUCUAGCUGUUAUUUCUUUUUUCUCUAAUUGUGACUCCUACAGAUAAUCAGGUUAACAGGAUUAAAAUUGUUUAGUCACCAGAGGAAAAUAUUCUCUAGUCCACACACAGCAAACACAAGUUCUUUGGGAUAUUUAAAUCAUUUUAGAUAUUCAAUACUUCAACAGGAGACACAAGGUUUGUAAAAGAAACAAACUACCAUCUUGCAAAAUAUGAGCUUUGAUUUUUAAGGAAAUGGUUGGGGGAGGGGCAUUUUGGGGAGGGAGAGAGAAAGCAAGGAAACUCGAAAUGUUCUUACCUAGCUUCAAAAUGACCCAGUUAGGAGUACAAGAGCUUUAUGCUGUUUUCUGCUCACACAUCUCCUUCCCCAAGCCUUUGAGAUCUAUCACUUAAUUAAUUAGAGCAGCCCUUAAGAAGCAGUAACAUGCAAAAGUCCCUCGUGAAAGACAUUGCAAUUUACAAUCAAGCAUGCUCUUGCUGGGGGAUAAAGGAAAGAUUUCAAGAGAAGAUCAGCUUGGUUUGUUAAGUAUUUUGGCAAGUUUUCUGCAUCUGUUUUCCAUUAGAGCCUUGCCACUGAGCUGUAAGAAAAAAAUGAUCAGACAUCCACUCCCUUUUUGCUCUGUGACCAGGGAAGUCUACUUACAGAAAGAAGGAGAACCAGUUUUUGGAAAGCUGAAUCACUUCACCUGUGCAUGUGGGAGUAAGGCUAAGGUACAAAGUUAUCUCAGGCUGCACGCAAAAUGGCAAAAAAUAAACCUUGUAAGUCACUAUAUGUGUCUUCUAGGUGAAUGGAAAUUAAAAGGUAGUGGGGAAAAAUGCUUUAAAAUGAGUGACAGGCAGAAGUGGUCAGGCUUAGGUAGGGUUACUUACUGUAAAGCCCCCAUGACUUCCCACUUUUUAGAGAAAAUAUGUUAGAAAGUACAGUAAGAAAAAGCUUGACGUCUGGUGAAGACACAGUUAGUGGAAAAAGUCAAAGGCUCACUGUCAUAGGUUAGCAAGCAUAGUCCCGGAAGGGAUGUCCUUGCUAAGGGGUGCUUACAGCUUCCUC